AUUGAACGCUGGCGGCAGGCCUAACACAUGCAAGUCGAACGGUAGCACAGAGAGCUUGCUCUCGGGUGACGAGUGGCGGACGGGUGAGUAAUGUCUGGGAAACUGCCCGAUGGAGGGGGAUAACUACUGGAAACGGUAGCUAAUACCGCAUAAUGUCGCAAGACCAAAGAGGGGGACCUUCGGGCCUCUUGCCAUCGGAUGUGCCCAGAUGGGAUUAGCUAGUUGGUGAGGUAAUGGCUCACCGAGGCGACGAUCCCUAGCUGGUCUGAGAGGAUGACCAGCCACACUGGAACUGAGACACGGUCCAGACUCCUACGGGAGGCAGCAGUGGGGAAUAUUGCACAAUGGGCGCAAGCCUGGUGCAGCCAUGCCGCGUGUAUGAAGAAGGCCUUCGGGUUGUAAAGUACUUUCAGCGGGGAGGAAGGCAAUGCGGUUAAUAACCGUGUUGAUUGACGUUACCCGCAGAAGAAGCACCGGCUAACUCCGUG
rnacentral:rRNA from 1 species